rnacentral:rRNA from 1 species
GUUUAUCCGGAUUAUUGGGCGUAAAGGGUCCGUAGGCGGUUGAUUAAGUCUGCUGUUAAAGAUUCACAGCUCAACUGUGGUGAGGCGGUGGAAACUGAUUGACUAGAGUAGCGGUAGGGGUAGAGGGAAUUCCCAGUGUAGCGGUGAAAUGCGUAGAUAUUGGGAAGAACACCAGUGGCGAAGGCGCUCUACUGGGCCGUGACUGACGCUGAGGGACGAAAGCUAGGGGAGCGAAAGGGAUUAGAUCCCCCUGUAGU